GUGCCUUAUAACAUGUCUUUAUAACUGGCUGUGUAAGAAUGAAGAAAAGCUGUCCAUCUUCUGAGAAGGAAGCAGCAUGUGCCAUCCUUCUGUCAGAAAACACCAAAGAGAUGAAGAAAUGAGAAAUCCAGAAACCAAAGACCUUGCUCUUUUGUCAAACAGACUUGGUAGAGCAGAGUUGCAAAAUCAGACCUUUGGGGGCUUGCGUGUUUCUCCUCUUACUCCCUGGUGUAGAAGCCCUGCCUUGAACUUCAGGCUGCCUGGCUUGGAUCCUGAUGCUGCUUUGCUGACACAAUCCAUUCUCCCAGGGAACACCCAGAGUUCCACUCCAGCCCUGGCAACGCUGCAGCAGAGUAGGCCAACUGUACGGAAAGUCUACAUUGGCUCGGAACAAUUGAGGCUGGGAGAGGACCUCAGGACGAGGACAUGCAGAAAAAGUGCUGAGUGUUCUUUAAAGCAGUAGCAAACCAUGGGUUUGGCUGGUGAUUUCCUGCUUGGUCGUCUUUUAAAACCCAGCCAUCUGAAUCCGAGAGUUGCUUCUUCAGCAAGGCCUCCCCUGACUCCUUCAGAUGUCUAAGCACCACCCCUACUCUUCUGCUGCAGCAUCUCCACUUGCUUUUGUCCUUCAUCUCCCUGAAAUUAUUUGCUUACUCAUCCAUCCAUGUCAGUUGCAAAAGCAUGACUUCCUCUAGUCCAAAGGCCAUUCAUGUUCAAUAUGUUAGCACUCGGAGCGUCUCCAGUGGUUGUUUCAAACAAGGCAAAUGAGUUCAGUUGAACUUUAUAUGUUCUGCCCUCCGACUGUGACUGUUAUUUACUUCCCUCCAAACAAAAUGUAAUAAUAAAAUGACUAACUGAACACUG
rnacentral:lncRNA from 1 species